UUGUCUAAAGGAUUAAGCCAUGCAUGCGAAAGUACAGGCUCAUUUAAGUAGUCGAAACUGCGAACGGCUCCUUACAACAGUUAUAAUCUACUUGGGAGUUUAAUAUGGAUAACUACGGAAACGCUGUAGCUAAUACAUCGUACCUACUAAAGUAGAUGCUUUCGGGUAUUUGCUUUAGAGGCCAACUCGUUGGAAUUGCAGCCACCCGCAUUGAAGGGGAGUCACAACGAGGGAGCUACGCGUCGGUCUAAUAUAACAGACCGUUUUCUAAGCGCGUACCAAAUGAGUUUCUGAUCUAUCAGCUGGUCGCCAAGGUAUUGUCUUGGUGUGGCUAUGACGGAUAACGGGGAAUUAGAGUUCGAUUCCGGAGAGGGCGCCUGAGAGAUGGCGACUAUAACUACGGUUAGCAGCAGGCGCGAAAAUUGCCCAAUGCCGACAAGGCGAGGCAGCGACCAGACAUACCGGGACCCCGUCAUUUUUUGGUGGAGUCAUUGGAUUCGACCUCCUCUAAACCAGGAGGUGAGAGGCAGUUUAGAUCAAGUUGAAGUGCCAGCAUUCGCGGUAAUACUUCCUUAAACGAAUGUAUGUUAAAGUUGUUGCGGUUAAAACGCUCGUAGUUGAUUGUCCCGCCGGGUAUUGGAUAUCCAGCUUUCUUCGGGAAGUUUUUGGAUUGUCCGAAACCCAAGCGGAUCAUUCCCUUUAUUAAUGAUUCUUUUCGGAGGAUCCUCUUAUAAGGGGAAUAUGUUACCUUGAGUAAAUUAGAGUGUUCCAAGCAGGCUUGUCUGUUUGAAUAUCCCAGCAUGGAAUAACUUUAUUGCGCGACGUCUCUCUAAUCCCGAAAGGGAGUGUGUGGUGCGUUUUAGGGCAACCUAAAACGUGGUGCUGCGAGAGAUGUGGUGCCGAUUAAUAGGAGCAGUUGGGGGCAUCCGUACUCCGAAGCUAGAGGUGAAAUUCUGUGACUUUCGGAAGACGAACAACUGCGAAGGCACUUGCCCAAAAUGCGUCCAUUAAUCAAGAGCGAAGUUAUGGGCAUCGAAAAAGAUCAGAGACCUUUGUAAUCCAUAAAGUAAACUAUGCCGUCCGGGGCGGAGUUGGCUACAUAGAUUUGCUUGCAUUCUAUGCGUAUGCAGGAGAAGUUUCGGCUUCUUUUGUUCUAUGUAUAGAGUAUUGCAGGUAGAUCGCUCGGUGCUUAUUCUGCCCCCGUGAGAAAUCCGAGAUUUUGGGUUCCGGAGCGAGUAUAAGCGCAAGCUAGAAAGUUAAAAGAAUUGACGGAGGGGCACCACAAAGCGUGGAGCUUGCGGCUUAAUUUGACUCAACACGGGAAACCUCACUAGCGUAGGACAGCGGAAGGAUUGACAGGGUUGCAGACCUUUCUUGAUUCGCUGGAGGGUGAUGCAUGGCCGUUCCUAGCUCUUGGCGUGGGCUGUCUGGUUAAUUCCGAUAACGAGCGGGACCUCCCCCUUCACUUCCGCCGGGCACCAUGAUCUCGGAAUGAUUGAAUAUAGUGGCUCUGUUUCUGUCCUUAUUCUACUACAUGUACAUCUUUUCAUUUGCAAAAAUGUUAAGUGUGCAUGUAUGUGUUUAAGUGUACGAAAUGGAUGUCCUUACUGUAUUUAAUUAUUUCGAGGGCGCUAUUUACGUUUUGCGUGCGUGAAGGGACGUCGCGUGUCUAACGCGAGGCAGGGAGGCAACAACAGGUCUGUGAUGUCCUCAGAUAUGCUAGGCUGCACGCGUGCUACACUGACGCGCGCAACGGGCGUUCGUACAUUCGGUUUUUCUUUUUUCUCUUUAUGGGAAAGAAGAAUUAAUCGAUUGUUUGCCCCUCCUGAGAAGGCGGGGGAAUCCCUAAUGCGCGUCGUGACGGGGAUCGAAUCUUGCAAUUAGGAUUCUUGAACGAGGAAUGCUUAGUAAGCGCAACUCAUAAGGUUGCGCUGUAUGCGUAACUGCCCUUUGCACACACCGCCCGUCGUUGCUUUUAAUGGAGUGCCAAGUGACUUGCUUGGAGGUCGAAAUGGAUUUUCAUUUCGCCAAAGUGCUGGGAACUUUGUACUCUAGAGAAAG
rnacentral:rRNA from 1 species